UGGGGAAUAUUGGACAAUGGGGGCAACCCUGAUCCAGCCAUGCCGCGUGAGUGAUGAAGGCCUUAGGGUUGUAAAGCUCUUUUACCAGGGAUGAUAAUGACAGUACCUGGAGAAUAAGCUCCGGCUAACUCCGUGCCAGCAGCCGCGGUAAUACGGAGGGAGCUAGCGUUGUUCGGAAUUACUGGGCGUAAAGCGCGCGUAGGCGGCUUUUCAAGUCAGGGGUGAAAUCCCGGGGCUCAACCCCGGAACUGCCCUUGAUACUGGCAGCCUAGAGUUCGAGAGAGGUGAGUGGAAUUCCGAGUGUAGAGGUGAAAUUCGUAGAUAUUCGGAGGAACACCAGUGGCGAAGGCGGCUCACUGGCUCGAUACUGACGCUGAGGUGCGAAAGCGUGGGGAGCAAACAGGAUUAGAUACCCCCGUAGUCC
rnacentral:rRNA from 1 species